rnacentral:rRNA from 1 species
UACGUAGGGGGCAAGCGUUGUCCGGAUUUAUUGGGCGUAAAGAGCGUGUAGGCGGCUAGGUAGGUCCGUUGUGAAAACUCGAGGCUCAACCUCGAGGCGCCGGUGGAAACCAUCUAGCUAGAGUCCGGAAGAGGAGAGUGGGAAUUCCUGGUGUAGCGGUGAAAUGCGCAGAUAUCAGGAAGAACACCCCGUGGCGAAGGCGGCUCUCGUGGGACGUGACUGACGCUGAGACGCGAAAGCGUGGGGAGCGAACAGG